UUGAACGCUGGCGGCAUGCUUUACACAUGCAAGUCGAACGGUAACAGGGAGCUUGCUCCGCUGACGAGCGGCGAACGGGUGAGUAACACGUGGGUGAUCUGCCCUGCACUCUGGGAUAAGCCUGGGAAACUGGGUCUAAUACUGGAUAUGACCUGCUCUCGCAUGGGGGUGGGUGGAAAGAUUUAUCGGUGCAGGAUGGGCCCGCGGCCUAUCAGCUUGUUGGUGGGGUAAUGGCCUACCAAGGCGACGACGGGUAGCCGACCUGAGAGGGUGACCGGCCACACUGGGACUGAGACACGGCCCAGACUCCUACGGGAGGCAGCAGUGGGGAAUAUUGCACAAUGGGCGGAAGCCUGAUGCAGUGACGCCGCGUGAGGGAUGAAGGCCUUCGGGUUGUAAACCUCUUUCAGCAGGGACGAAGCGUGAGUGACGGUACCUGCAGAAGAAGCACCGGCUAACUACGU
rnacentral:rRNA from 1 species